CGGUUACCUUGUUACGACUUCACCCCAAUCAUUGAUUCUACCUUCGACUGCUGCCUCGAUUGUUGGCUCACAGGCUUCGGGUAUUCCCAACUCUCAUGGUGUGACGGGCGGUGUGUACAAGGCCCGGGAACGUAUUCACGGCAGUAUGCUGACCUGCCAUUACUAGCAAUUCCGACUUCAUGAAGGCGAAUUUCAGCCUUCAAUCCGAACUGAGACCGCUUUUUUCAGUUUUGCUUGAUAUCACUAUCUUGCUUCUCUCUGUUACGGCCAUUGUAGUACGUGUGUUGCCCAAGACAUAAAGGGCAUGAUGAUUUGACGUCAUCCCCACCUUCCUCCGAUUUAUUACCGGCAGUUCUUCCAGAGUUCCCAUCUUUACAUGCUGGCAACUGAAAGCAGGGGUUGCGCUCGUUGCAGGACUUAACCUAACAUCUCACGACACGAGCUGACGACAACCAUGCACCACCUGUUUAUGGGUCCGAAGACUUACUAAUCUCUUAGUAAUUCCCAUAUAUGUCAAGCCUUGGUAAGGUUCUUCGCGUUGCGUCGAAUUAAACCACAUACUCCACUGCUUGUGCGGGCCCCCGUCAAUUCCUUUGAGUUUCAACCUUGCGGUCGUACUCCCCAGGUGGGAUACCUAUUG
rnacentral:rRNA from 1 species